CCGACCUUAGCUCAGUUGGUAGAGCGGAGGACUGUAGUAGUUGCAGAAUAUCCUUAGGUCACUGGUUCGAAUCCGGUAGGUCGGA
rfam:Brassica napus, WGS project CCCW01000000 data, contig: 5390